rnacentral:rRNA from 1 species
GGCGGCGAUGGAUUAGGCAUGCAAGUCGAACGGGAGCAGCAAUGCUCCAGUGGCGGCAAGGGUGAGGAACACGUGAACGAACCUCGCUUCGAGUUGGGGAUAAGCUUCUGGAACGGGAGAUAAUACCGAAUAACAUCAUUUUCUCGCAUGGGGAUUUGAUCAAGCAGCAAUGCGCUUGAAGGGGGGUUCGCGUCCCAUUAGCUAGUUGGUGAGGUAACGGCCCGACCAAGGCGAUGAUGGUAGCUGGUCUGAGAGGACGAUCAGCCACAUUGGGACUGAGAUACUGCCCAGACUCCUACGGGAGGCUGCAGUCGAGAAUUUUGGGCAAUGGACGAAAGUCUGAACCCCAGCAAUGCCGCGUGCGGGAUGAAGGUCUUCGGAUUGUAAACCGCUGUCAAGAGGGACGAAAUUUGACGGUACCUCUGGAGGAAGCCACGGCUAACUACGUGCCAGCCGCUGC